rnacentral:rRNA from 1 species
UGGGGAAUAUUGGACAAUGGGCGCAAGCCUGAUCCAGCCAUGCCGCGUGUGUGAAGAAGGCCUUUUGGUUGUAAAGCACUUUAAGCGAGGAGGAGGCUACUUGGAUUAAUACUCUAGGAUAGUGGACGUUACUCGCAGAAUAAGCACCGGCUAACUCUGUGCCAGCAGCCGCGGUAAUACAGAGGGUGCGAGCGUUAAUCGGAUUUACUGGGCGUAAAGCGUGCGUAGGCGGCUUCUUAAGUCGGAUGUGAAAUCCCUGAGCUUAACUUAGGAAUUGCAUUCGAUACUGGGAAGCUAGAGUAUGGGAGAGGAUGGUAGAAUUCCAGGUGUAGCGGUGAAAUGCGUAGAGAUCUGGAGGAAUACCGAUGGCGAAGGCAGCCAUCUGGCCUAAUACUGACGCUGAGGUACGAAAGCAAGGGGAGCAAACAGG